CCUACGGGAGGCAGCAGUGAGGAAUAUUGGUCAAUGGGCGUAAGCCUGAACCAGCCAAGUCGCGUGAGGGAUGAAGGUUCUAUGGAUCGUAAACCUCUUUUAUAAGGGAAUAAAGUGCGGGACGUGUCCAGUUUUGUAUGUACCUUAUGAAUAAGGAUCGGCUAACUCCGUGCCAGCAGCCGCGGUAAUACGGAGGAUCCGAGCGUUAUCCGGAUUAAUGGGGUUGAAGGGGUGCGUAGGCGGCCUUUUAAGUCAGCGGUGAAAGGCUGUGGCUCAACCAUAGAAUUGACGUUGAAACUGGGAGGCUUGAGUAUGUUUGAGGCAGGCGGAAUGCUUGGUGUAGCGGUGAAAUGCUUAGAUAUCACGCAGAACCCCGAUUGCGAAGGCAGCCUGCCAAGCCAUGACUGACGCUGAUGCACGAAAGCGUGGGGAUCAAACAGGAUUAGAUACCCUGGUAGUC
rnacentral:rRNA from 1 species